rnacentral:rRNA from 1 species
UACGUAGGGGGCAAGCGUUGUCCGGAUUUAUUGGGCGUAAAGAGCGUGUAGGCGGCUUUACAGGUCCGUUGUGAAAACUCGAGGCUCAACCUCGAGACGCCGGUGGAAACCGUAAAGCUAGAGUCCGGAAGAGGAGAGUGGAAUUCCGCGUGUAGCAGUGAAACGCGUAGAGAUGCGGAGGAACACCGAUGGCGAAGGCAGCCCCCUGGGUCGACACUGACGCUCAGGCACGAAAGCGUGGGGAGCAAACAGG